rnacentral:rRNA from 1 species
UACGGAGGGUGCAAGCGCUAAUCGGAACUACUGGGCGUAAAGGGUGCGUAGGCGGUUUAAUAAGUUAAGUGUGAAAGUCCCGGGCUUAACCUGGGGAAGUCAUUUAAGACUGUUAGACUAGAGUAUGGGAGAGGGUAGUGGAAUUUCCGGUGUAGCGGUGAAAUGCGUAGAGAUCGGAAGGAACACCAGUGGCGAAGGCGGCUACCUGGCCUAAUACUGACGCUGAGGCACGAAAGCAUGGGGAGCAAACAGGAUUAGAUACCCUGGUAGUCCAUGCUGUAAACGAUGUCAACUAGCUGUUGGUUGUAUAAAUGCAAUUAGUAGCGCAGCAAACGCGAUAAGUUGACCGCCUGGGGAUACGGCCGCAAGAUUAAAACUCAA